GGCUCUUGGUCAUCUGGAUUCUCUUCAUCUUCUGUCUCUGUUCCUUCUUGUUCUCGUUGCACUGCUCGAGCAAUUGCGGAUUCCAACCUUGUGCUUACAGUUUCCCAUGACACAAGCUUUUCCAUGAAUGUAUUUAUGUCCGCCUUCUUAUCUUUCUUGAGGAAGAUGAAUUCACCGAAGAUCCAACUUG